rnacentral:lncRNA from 13 species
CGAGGAAAGUAAUAUGGGAAGACACUGAUUUAGCACUGCUUAAGAACCAUUGUUUAACAAUUUGUCAAAAUAGUUAUGUUACUGUAAAUACCUAUCUUGAAUAAUCAAUUUGGUACCGGUUUCCAAAAAACUGAUUUGGUUAUCUGAUUAGCAAGGACCAUCCCUAAACUAUGGAACUAUUUCCUGUGGAUAGGUGGGUUACUGCUACACAGUGGCCUAUUGUAUGUUUAAACAAAUGUGCCCAUCUAUAAAAUUGGUAGUGGAAAUUAAUUAGUCCACAGCCUGAUUAUAAUGGUUUUAAUUAUGCCAUUGGUUGUCAUAAAACGUCGUAUUUUGAAUGUCAAUGAGAAAAGAGACAAUAUGAACAUUUCAGAAAGUUUUUAUUUCCUUCUUUAAAUAACAAAUCAUUAGCACAUUAUAAAUAAAUAACAAGUUAAAUAAUUCACUUAAUAGAAUAUUCUUCAUUAAUAAAUAGGUUAACAAAAUAUUAGUCUCAAUAUCAAGUACUAGGCUUUCACAAAGUAAAUCAUUGUAUUACAAAUAUUACUUCAAUAUUGUAGGCCUAUACGUUUUGGCCUUGCAGGCUACGAACAUGUGAGGGUGUGAAGUUUGACUUCUACAGUACAUCAUUACAAAUGUGAACCUAAAAUAUAUAAUUCAAGUUUUUCUAUAUUCAAGUUUGAGUCCAGUAUUGUAACAGUCAGUUCUUCAAAAUUGUCCCAUUAGUGACAUGUUCUUUUGUUCGCUUCACUCUCCAAAUACAGCAGCUAAUGUAGGCUACUCUGGUGAGGCUUCAGCGAGCGUCCUAGUGAAUCAUCUCCGGGGCUGUCCAGACAAUUUCAAGAUCAUUUGGAGUGAAUAACAAUUUCAAAGCUGGAUUGAGUAGUUCAGUACAAGGGCAAGUUAUUACAUUUCAGGGGGUAGGGUGAAGUUACCCAUAGACGCUGAUCUUGGGUCAGUUUUGGAUUCCCCCCACUAAUGGCAGGCUGAUCUCAUACGGUAGACUAGACGU